UACGUAGGUGACAAGCGUUGUCCGGAUUUACUGGGCGUAAAGAGCGCGCAGGCGGUCGAUCAAGUCGAGUGUGAAAGCCCCCGGCUCAACUGGGGAGGGUCAUUCGAAACUGGUCGACUCGAAGGCAGGAGAGGGUAGUGGAAUCCCCGGUGUAGUGGUGAAAUGCGUAGAUAUCGGGAGGAACACCAGUGGCGAAGGCGACUACCUGGCCUGUUCUUGACGCUGAGGCGCGAAAGCUAGGGGAGCAAACGGG
rnacentral:rRNA from 1 species